rnacentral:rRNA from 1 species
AUGAACGCUGGCGGCAUGCCUAACACAUGCAAGUCGAACGAAGCCUUCGAGCUUAGUGGCGCACGGGUGCGUAACGCGUGGGAAUCUGCCCUUAGGUACGGAAUAACUCAGGGAAACUUGUGCUAAUACCGUAUGAUGUCGCGAGACCAAAGAUUUAUCGCCUAGGGAUGAGCCCGCGUUGGAUUAGCUAGUUGGUGAGGUAAAGGCUCACCAAGGCGACGAUCCAUAGCUGGUCUGAGAGGAUGAUCAGCCACACUGGGACUGAGACACGGCCCAGACUCCUAAGGGAGGCAGCAGUGGGGAAUAUUGGACAAUGGGCGAAAGCCUGAUCCAGCAAUGCCGCGUGAGUGAAGAAGGCCUUCGGGUUGUAAAGCUCUUUUACCCGGGAAGAUAAUGACUGUACCGGGAGAAUAAGCCCCGGCUAACUCCGUGCCAGCCGCCGCCGUAA